GAUGAACGCUGGCGGCGUGCCUAAUACAUGCAAGUCGAGCGAACGGACGAGGAGCUUGCUCCUCUGACGUUAGCGGCGGACGGGUGAGUAACACGUGGAUAACCUACCUAUAAGACUGGGAUAACUUCGGGAAACCGGAGCUAAUACCGGAUAAUAUAUUGAACCGCAUGGUUCAAUAGUGAAAGACGGUUUUGCUGUCACUUAUAGAUGGAUCCGCGCCGCAUUAGCUAGUUGGUAAGGUAACGGCUUACCAAGGCAACGAUGCGUAGCCGACCUGAGGGGGUGAUCGGCCACACUGGAACUGAGACACGGUCCAGACUCCUACGGGAGGCAGCAGUAGGGAAUCUUCCGCAAUGGGCGAAAGCCUGACGGAGCAACGCCGCGUGAGUGAUGAAGGUCUUCGGAUCGUAAAACUCUGUUAUUAGGGAAGAACAAAUGUGUAAGUAACUAUGCACGUCUUGACGGUACCUAAUCAGAAAGCCACGGCUAACUACG
rnacentral:rRNA from 1 species